UACAGAGGUCUCAAGCGUUGUUCGGAUUCAUUGGGCGUAAAGGGUGCGUAGGCGGGCUUGUAAGUCAGUGGUGAAAGCCCGGGGCUUAACUCCGGAACUGCCGUUGAUACUGCAAGCCUUGAGUACAGUUGAGGUGGGCGGAAUACAUCAUGUAGAGGUGAAAAUUCUUUAGAUAUGAUGUAGAACACCGAUUGCGAAGGCAGCUCACUAAAAGUGUAACUGACGCUGAGGCACGAAAGCGUGGGGAUCAAACAGG
rnacentral:rRNA from 1 species